CAAACUAUGCUUAAGUAGCAUUUAUUAUUUACAUUAAUAAACAAUUUGUGCGAUUCAAAUUAGUUUGA
rnacentral:tRNA from 1 species